rnacentral:rRNA from 1 species
AUGGCCGCCGGCGACGGCGCCGACCCGAUGGAGCUCGUGCGGGGGCAGUACGACGCCGACGAGCUCGCCAUCGCCGGGGAGUUCCUCACCACCUGGCUCCCCUUCCUCUCCGCGGGCCUCUGCCCCUCCUGCGUCGGCUCGCUCCGCGGCCGCGUCGCCUCCCUCCUCCCCCCGCCGCCGCCCCCGACGCCGCGAGCGGAGGAGCCGGCGCCACCGCCGCCCGUCGAGAGGGUCGUUGCCACGGGGUGGGACUCGGAUCCGGCCGCCCCGCGGCAUCUCCCGUUCGAGCCCAGCGGGUGGGACUCGGAUCCGCCCCCGCCGCCCCCGCAGCGGCAGCAGGCGGAGGCGGAGAAGCCCCGGAUGUCGUGGGCGGACAUGGCUCAGGAGGACGAGCUCGCCGCCGCCGCCGCGGCCGCCGACGACGACGGGGAGGAGGGGGAGGAGGAGGAGGCCGGCGGGGCGGGGAGGCCGAGGGCGAGGCUGACCAGGGAGCAGCGGGAGCUGCAUCGGUUCCGGAACGUGCUGCGGAAGGACGACUUCAUAUGCUUGGAGAGGGUCAAGGGCCAGCUCGUCAACAUCCUCGCCGGCCUGGAGCUCCACGCCGGCGUGUUCAGCACCGCCGAGCAGAAGCGCAUCGUCGACUGCGUCUACGGCCUGCAGGAGAUGGGCAAGCGCGGGGAGCUUGGAGAUCGUACAUAUACAGAACCUGAGAAAUGGAUGCGUGGUAAAGGGCGGGUAACAAUUCAAUUUGGAUGCUGUUAUAACUAUGCUACGGACAGGAAAGGAAAUCCACCAGGCAUCAUUCGAACUUUUGUUUCUGAUCCGAUCCCUGAACUAUUUAAGGUCAUGAUCAAGAGAUUGGUAAGGUGGCAUAUUCUGCCAACGGAUUGUGUACCAGACAGUUGCAUUGUCAACAUGUAUGACCCUGGAGAUUGCAUCCCACCACAUAUAGACAGCCAUGAUUUUGUUCGACCAUUUUGUACUGUUUCAUUCCUCAGUGAAUGCAACAUACUUUUUGGGUCUAGUCUGAAAAUCGCUGGUCCUGGAGAAUUUACGGGCUCAUUUGCAAUUCCUCUGCCCGUUGGGUCUGUGCUCGUCAUAAAUGGCAAUGGUGCUGAUGUUGCAAAGCAUUGUGUUCCAGCGGUACCAUCCAAAAGGAUAUCCAUUACCUUCAGAAAAAUGGAUCCUGCAAAGCGUCCAUUCAGUUUCAAGGAUGAUCCUGAACUGCUGAACAUUACUCCUCUCGAAGCACCAGCUGCACCCGAGACUAGCAGAUCCUCGGAUGAAGGCAAGGGGAAGCAGCUUGGCGUACAAACUCGGGAUCCAGGCAGCAGAUCAUCCAGAAGCAGGAAAUCCAAAGGAAGAACGACCCCUGCUGGAAAGGCUGGAUGGAGGGGCAUUCUUGGAGACCAACCUCCACAGCACCCACAGAGCCCCAUCUCCAGUGUGAGCUCUGAGAGAGAGAGGGACUCCAUUGGGAGGUCGAGAGAGCCAAGGUAUCCACCGGGUUCUGACAGAGAAAGGGACUCCGUUGAGAGGCCGAGAGAGCCAAGACAACCGCAUGACACGCCAUCUCAUGGCGAGGACCUCAGAGACCGGCUGAACAGGCCGCCUCAUGAGAGGACGCCUGGCAGCGGCGUGUUCUUCGUCAACAAUGGCGCGGACUCCCAGGCCAGGGGGCAACGGAUGGAGCACAGGCAGCUACAGAUGAUCAACCGCACCAUCAACGACGACAUGGACUCCCUCUCCGUCGGGAGCCACGAGUCGUCUGACCAGCCCCGUGUCAGCGUGCGGACCAUACACAACAGACCAAGGACCAGAAUAAACCUGGGCUGGUAG